UCUGCACUCAUGAAUCACAUCUUGUAAAUGACAGAACACUUUACAACAUACAAUAUACUAUUGCUCCACCAUGUCGUCAAUAAUUCUAAAUCGAGAAAUUUUAUUUUGGCCAGGAGCUGAAGUUGGUUGUUUAGUAGUAGUAGUUUGAGUAGUGACCGAAGUAGUAGUCUGGUGUGUGGGUGCAGCUGAAGUUUCAGAAGUGUCAGGUGUGGUAAUUGGGGCAGCUGUGGUCUCUUGUGGAGCUGGGGAAGACGGUGGAGCUGGUGUAGUUGCAGAAGGUGUGGGUGGGGCAGCUGUGGUCUCUGGUGGAGCUGAGGAAGAUGGUGGAGCUUGUGUAGUUGCAGAAGGUGUGGGUGGGGCAGCUGUGGUGUCUUGUGGAGCUGGGGAAUUCACUGGUGCUAAUGUAGCUACAGAAGAGCUUGUGUUAACAUUUUCUCUUGAAGAUAUGGUGGUGGCAUUCUGGGGAAGAAAAGUCACAUUUGGAAGGGUAGUAAUUUUGGUGGAAGCUUAGGCCUACAGCGUUUGUGCAGACAUUUAUAGGACUUUCUAAUGAACGGCUUCUGGUGAGCUAGCAG
rnacentral:lncRNA from 1 species